rnacentral:rRNA from 1 species
GAUGAACGCUGGCGGCGUGCCUAAUACAUGCAAGUCGAGCGAACGGACGAGAAGCUUGCUUCUCUGAUGUUAGCGGCGGACGGGUGAGUAACACGUGGAUAACCUACCUAUAAGACUGGGAUAACUUCGGGAAACCGGAGCUAAUACCGGAUAAUAUUUUGAACCGCAUGGUUCAAAAGUGAAAGACGGUCUUGCUGUCACUUAUAGAUGGAUCCGCGCUGCAUUAGCUAGUUGGUAAGGUAACGGCUUACCAAGGCAACGAUGCAUAGCCGACCUGAGAGGGUGAUCGCCCACACUGGAGCUGAGACACGGUCCAGACGCCUACGGGAGGCAGCAGUAGGGAAUCUUCCGCAAUGGGCGAAAGCCUGACGGAGCAACGCCGAGUGAGUGAUGAAGGUCUUCGGAUCGUAAAACUCUGUUAUUAGGGAAGAACAUAUGUGUAAGUAGCUGUGCACAUCUUGACGGUACCUAAUCAGAAAGCCACGGCUAACUACGUG